GCAAUCUAUUCACUUACUAUUUAACCGUAUCAUUAAGGAAUUAGUAAACUAAACGAUUGCUAUAAUAAUUAUGACAAUUUUGUUUAAUUAUUAAAAUUAUUUUAUUUUAUUGAUUAAUUUUAAUAAAAGAUGAAAUUGUGUACAAAUAUUAAAUUUAA